rnacentral:rRNA from 1 species
AAUCAACGCUGGCGGCGUGCCUCAGACAUGCAAGUCGAACGAUUAAAGCUCUCUUCGGAGAGUGCAUAGAGUGGCGCACGGGUGAGUAACACGUAAGUAAUCUACCUUCGAGUGGGGAAUAACGUCCGGAAACGGACGCUAAUACCGCAUAAUGCAGCGGCAUCGCAAGAUGACAGUUGUUAAAGGAGCAAUUCGCUUGAAGAGGAGCUUGCGGCAGAUUAGCUAGUUGGUAAGUAAUGGCUUACCAAGGCUACGAUCUGUAACCGGUCUAAGAGGACGGUCGGUCACACUGACACU